UUGAAGAAUUUGAAGACUUGAACUUGAUCUUGAAGGAUUUGAAGACUUCAACUUGCAGGCUUAAAGAAUUGGAAGACUUCAACU
rnacentral:pre_miRNA from 1 species